GCACCGUUUCCGACUCUUACAUCCUACGAACAUCUGUUCUAGUGCAGUCGUGCGAGGGCUCUCUCAACGAACUACCGAAAAUUAUCAAAAUCAGCCGCGGUCUGCGAUGACGCACACGUCUCGAGUCUGCUAGCAAAGCGACGUCACCCCCACCCACUGUAGCGCUGGGGACGCGUGUACGGUAGUAGGACGGCGGCUGUCGUCAAAAUGUUGGGGAACAUAUGUCGGCAGUAUUGUAAGCGACGUCCCGCGGCGGAGGAUAGUGGUCCAGCCGGGCUGUGAUUUGGGCCGCGCUCGAGCGUGCCCGUCCAGCUGGUAUCCUGGUAGGCUGCCUGGCAACAGAGCCGGCCGGCGACCAUUCGAGCCUACAAGGUCACCAGCCCUGUCUCCUUCCCUGGCUUGCAUCGCCAUUCUCUCCCUUCCUUUCUGCCGUGUAGCCAGCAGCGGGCGCACAGCCGUUCUUCUGGGAUGGCUCUUCCUCCCCUGCGCCUUCCGGUGCUGCUGCUGCUGCCUCGCCGACUCGUCGUCUCCUCGUAUGGGGCUUCGAACGACAAUAGCACGAAUAGAAACCAAAAGACAGGAAUCUUGUGUUGAUGAGGACUGGAGAGAGAUAUCUUCACAGUUAAAUGUGUAGUGAGGAAUGGUAACUCCACCACCGUUGGCGUGCAACUAUAAAUUUUUGCCAACGGUUGCGGAGUUCCUUAACCUCACUACAUUGGAUCAACAUGGUUCGUGCAGUAAGGACAAUAAAGAUCACCAGAGUUCUUAUGGAAAAAUAGAAGCAAAGUUGCUGAAUGGAACUAGUCUAAGUUGGUAGUUGUAUGUGCAUCGAUAGUUUGUAGUACAUAAACAUUCUGACUGUCUUCAUUGUGAAAUUGUCUGUUGAAAUAAAGAACAAUUUUCUGCCCCUUUCAUAAAUA